rnacentral:tRNA from 1 species
GACGCGAUGGCAGAUUGGUUAUGCACUCGGUUUUGCAUUCCGGGGUCCCUUGUAGCGAGGGUAAGUUGGGUUCGAUUCCCACUCGCGUCU